CCAUGCCGCGUGUGUGAAGAAGGCUUUCGGGUUGUAAAGCACUUUCAGUGAGGAGGAAAACUCUGCGACUAAUACUCGUAGGGCUUGACGUUACUCACAGAAGAAGCACCGGCUAACUCCGUGCCAGCAGCCGCGGUAAUACGGAGGGUGCAAGCGUUAAUCGGAAUUACUGGGCGUAAAGCGCGCGUAGGUGGUUUGAUAAGCGAGAUGUGAAAGCCCCGGGCUUAACCUGGGAACGGCAUUUCGAACUGUCAGGCUAGAGUAUGGUAGA
rnacentral:rRNA from 1 species